CUUUUCGUCGUCAACCAAUACGUCGUCUGUUUCGGUCACCCCUUCGUCGGUCUCUUCCUCCGCGUCGCGAAAUAAGGGCUCCGAAAAUUCCGCCACCAAAUCCUCCAUUGAUCGAUCUUUCGCUCCCUGUCAACCAUCGAAGCUCCACACCCACCCCAUCUCAUUCGCUUUCUGUUUCCAUAUCUCCCCGCCGCGGCGCCGCCAUACAUCCAUGCCUCAGCCCUUCGCGCUGCUCCACAGUCCACACCCACCCCAUAGUCGGACCAGCCUCAGGCCUCCGGCUCCACGACCCGCUUGUAGGAGCAGCAGCGUCCCUAGGCCAGCGAGCGAGCGACAUCGAUGGCCACCGCGGGCACACACGCAUCGGAUGGCCCGGUAGCCAUAGAGUGCCGUCGUCGGAUCUCCUACCUCUCUGGCGAUGGAAAGGAUCCAGGCCAACACUUCUGAAUCCUGCUGACGCGAACGCGUGGGAAGGAGCUGCACAAAUCCUCCGGCGACGAUACCAAGUUCCUGCGAAUCCAAGCUCGCUCCCAACAGCAAGGCUGCGCUUAGUAUUGGAUCCACAGGACCUACAAAAUCUGAAUACUACCCUAUUUUGUUUAUUGGGGUUACACAACUUCCAACUCCAUGUGUAUUUGUGCGAUAUGCCAAUAUGAUGGUGAUAUGUGUACAUUACUGAAGCUGCAAAGGUAAUGUUUUACCGCUGAAUGAAAAUGUUGUGCCGACAAUAAAACAAACCUUCAUAUUGAGAAUGAAAGGGGAGGGGCCAUCGUCAGUGCUGGCCAUGCGGCGGCAGCAAGUACAAGGCAAGGUCGCUUGAAGAGAGUGGAGGAAGAGGACAAGGAUUCAGAGUAAUGCACUUCUCAGUUCUCAGUUAACAAGAAAAUGGCUGACACUGACAGUGAGGACAUACAACUGCUUGUAUGUGAUAGUGGCACUGGAAUGGUCAAGGGUAUUCUGAAUUCAUUAUUGAAUGAAGAUUUAAUUGGAAGAAUGCGGACAUGAAGAAAGGAAUUAUUGGGAUUCAUUAUUCAUAUAUAUUAAUCAAGUAUGGGAACACAACCUUAGCCUUUGCCAUGCAAAUCCUGAUUGGCCGCUGCUUCCUCACCACGCACGAAGCCAGCGCAGACCCGCCUGCUCCAUCAAGCUCUGUAUUUCAAACCAAUCUUGCAAACUUUUGUGCACAUCUUAGAUUGCUUUUCAUGUUUUAAUGGUUGGAAGUCAGUACUACUAAUAUGAACCUUGCAGGCAAACGAGAUGAAUCUGUCUAAAUGACCUUUCAUCAGUUUGUUCGUCAAUAACUGAAGUCAAUACUCCCAUAUACAAUCUCUUAUUGUGGAUGCUGAUGAUGAUGAAGAAGAAGACCUUUGUUCUCCACCUUCAGAUGAAAGAGCAUUCUUUGUACCAGAGACUACUGUCGUUCAACUCUCUGAGCAGCCUGAAGUGCUAAUAAGUGAGUCAGUGAGUAUGGAAGUUCUCAUUGAAGUUCUUUGCACCCCUAAUUAGCAGCCUGAAGUUCUUUGACGAAAUGGGUGAAGACGGAAGUGAGUACAACUACCUAGAUUGCUCAGUUUUCCCUUGCUUAUUGCAUUCCGUAAAUUAUAUGAUAAUUAACAUUAUAUUUUGAUAAAAUUGAGAAAUAACAAUGAUGCAUGCGUUCGAAACAAGAGGUAAAAUAAUAGCAGAACACUAAACAAUUAAAAUGUUGCAAAACCAGAACUUACUCACCAUGUUGAAAGAGAUCUGAUCGGGAUGCUAGAAUUUGAACCUGGCAAGAGCCAUCGAUGAGGAAAACAAACCAAAAAAAAACAAAUUCAAAUUUGGAAGCCAAGCCCCAUGGUACGAUCAGCAAGCAAUCCAUACUCUCGAGUUCUUUUUCGAUUUUUGAGACGAACCAAAGCAGCUCCUCAGCAGAAAGCAAGGCUCCAUUCACAUCCUUCAUAUGUUUGUAUAGUAAUCUUAUUGGUCUAUAGUUUUCUGAAAUUAAUUUAUGUUAGUGCCUCCAAUGUGUUUGAAAACAGUCAUUACUUCUAUAUGUCAUUGGCAUGCCUUAUGUUCACUCAAAAUUCCAUCAAAGAAACUUCUCUGCAUAAAGUUUUAUCUUGUUUAAACAUAGCAUCGACUCCUCUAUUCAGAACAAUAAGAGAAGUGAAUAACACAAUAACUAUAUGGAACGAAAGAGGAGGGAGUUAGACUCACCAUGUGUUCAGUUCUAUUAUAGUUUUUAUUCAAAAAAAAUUGUUACAUUGUCUCCUAUACAUUUGGAAAAUAACUUUUUAUAUUACUUAUUAAUAGGGCUUUCAUUCAAUUAAAAAUUUAAAAUCCAAACAAAUAAAACUUUCCUGCAUAACCUCUUACCCUAUUUAAACAUGGCAUAGACUCAUUCAGUCUUAUAAACAGUUUUCGAGUGAACAAUAUAAGUUAACAAUAUAAGAGAAGUGAUUGAUAACUUUCUAAAAGGAAUGAUAUGUGAAAGAUGCCAAUAUGAUACAUGUGUGUAGCUGAGGAAAUGGUUGUACGACUCCAAAAUGAUAAUUACACAAUAUUAGUAUUCUAUUCCCUUAUUUGUGAUAACUCUUAUUGAUGGUGGUCUUGCGCAGCAAGUGGUCACGAGUAUGCACCUAUAACUAUAUGAGUAGCCACACAAAGAACUUGGUUUGGACAGUGAACAUUUCCAAGACAACAUCAACAUGAAAUGAUCUGAGCUUAAGAGCCAAGACAACAUUAACAUGAAAUGAUCUGAGCUUAAGAAAUCAGGGAAACCUAGAGGCUGAUCUGCAGGGUUGCUAGCUCGCCUUGCUGGUGGCGGCUCUCCUACGAUAGCUUGGAUAUCUUCACAUAAAUUAUUUCUAUAUAUUGUGGCAACCAAAGAUACUUUAAGCCCCGUGGCAACGCACGGGCAUUUGUACUAGUAAUAGGAAAGAUCCCGUGCACACUACAAAUGCAUUUGUCCUGAACAUUAGAGCACAUUCAGCCGUUUGAGGCCCUAGGAUCCUAGACGUAACUACCGUCGAAUUGGAUGAAAAUAGGGCGUGGGUACCAGUUUUCCAGUCGCUCCUCAUCAUUCGCUCAACUGCGGCGUUAAUUAUGAAUAAUCGUCUUCCCGCUACACAAAAGCAUCGCCCAAAUAGUUCGAUGAUCAGAUCAGCCACAUAACGAUGAUCUAAAAGAAACUAGAGGAUAACAGGGACAUCGACAGUCCCUUCCAGUAGCUUGUCUACCGCGGAGUCGGGCGGCGAUGCAUCCUUUGGCCGCCGGAGUCGCAGCGGCGGGAGUGGACGUCGAAGGAAAGGAGGAAGCCCUCGACAGAGGGGGUCGGAGGAUGUCUUGGCGAUGACUGUCGUACCAAGCCCUCGUCUCCUCGUCCAUCUUGCCUUCGUUGCCGCCAAUCAGGAACGCUAGGUCGGUGUUCCUCUUCUUCACCGUGGCGGUUGUCUUCAGCAAGGCGAUCCAGACGCCUUGGUUGGCGAGCAUCUCCUUCCACCCGGCGUCGUACUUGUGGUCCCUCCCGGUGGCAUGCGCCCUCGCAUCGGCCCAACACUUGUCGAAUGACGCCUGCAACCUUUCGGCAGGAUUGCCCGCCUUCUUCAGCUCUUUGAGCUUCUUCUGGCCGAGCUCGGGGCGGCCCGCCGACAUGGCAGGGGCUAGAGUGGGGGGUUGUACUGCUCGUCAUUGUUCUUCGCGAGGUUCCGGCGUACGUCCGUCCACUUCUUGCAAUUGUCGAUGCGGGAGAAGACGUUGAGGUACUUGAACGUCAGGCCGGUGUCGUCGCGGUACAUGUCGAAAGCACGGUGCAUCUGCAAGAGAACCGGCGAAAUAAGAUUAAACCUAGGCGAUCCAUGAUCGAGGGAUGGCACGACGAAUCAGCUCACCUUCUGCUCGAAGUCGGCGCCGCUCUCUGGGCGAGAUUCGAUCUCCUCCUGUAUGCCGUGCAACUUGCUACACGCCGUCUGGAUGAUCCUCCAAUGGGUUCCCAUGGCCUUGUCACCACGCACCAUCACCAUCUUGUUGAAGUAGGGAUCGAUGAUCUUGUGUUCGUCGAAUGCCAACUUGACCCGCUGAGGUUGGAAAAAGCGCUAGGCGUAAGCGAGGCGAUUGCCAUUUUCCUAGUGCCUAGGCAUGCUUAAGAAGCCUAGGCGCAGCCUAGGCGGUCAUCGUUUAUACCAUCAAGUAUGUAUAUGUGUUAUUAUAUGUGAAUAAACAUUAAUUUAGAGCAUGCAAAUGUGUAAAUUUCUAAUAACUACCUUGAAAAUAAUGCCCAUAUAACUCGAUCGUGAAGUAUUGCAUGAUUUCUUAUUGUGGAAGACAAUUUCUUCGUUACACUGCCUAGACUUCCGCUUAUGCCCUAGGCGAGGCGUUUGUCCAUCUUCUAGUGCCUAAGCGUGCCUAAGCGGUGCCUAAGCGUCGCCUUGUCCAACAGAAUAUGUCUCAUAGUUCUGAUUGGCGCCGGUAAUGCCGUUCAUGGAGACAAUAUUCCAUGCUUUGGCGAGGAACUUCUCUUCUUUCCCCGUCCAUUUGAUCCACGGCUCGGUAGGCAGCGAGUUCUUCUUCCUUUUCUUCUUUUCCUUCCUCGUCACCGUAGGAUCAAGCACGUCCUCAUCCUUGCCAUUGGCCUGUUCUUCUUCUUCAUCGACGGCUUGGCACCCCGCGACACGAUCGCUGGCGUUGCUCUGGUCUCCUCUUGCGUGAAGAAACCCGGGAUCGACGCGGCGGCCAUGGAGCCCGACGUGAUCAUCUCGUGGAUCACACCAUCGUUCGGUAGCGGUAUCCCACCCAACGACGCGCACGCGCUGUUCCCGGGGUUGGAGAAGGAGAGUGGCCCUCAGCGCAGGGCAGAUGCCCUCGUACGCUCCCUAGUGGUACCGUCGUAAUCUGGUGCCUUCGCUAACCUUGACAGAUGUGUGGAUUGGGCGUAGCUCUCGUGGAACAUGGCAGGUGACGCCGGCGAGAAGGUCGAAGGCAAGCCGGUUGUACCUUCGAUUGGCCAUGAACCGGGGAAUAGGCCGACACGCGGCUGUCCCAUGCUCAUGGCCAUGGAGACCUGCCUCGGUUGUUCAUCCACCGCCGCUGCCCUCUUCGCCGGGAGCUUCAUCUUCCUCUCCGCCCUUCAACGAGUUUUGGUCUGGCGCCGCUCGACAUCUGCCACCCACCUUGCGUUUGACCAACCCGACGGCCUCUCUUUUGGCGCCUGUGGCUUCCUCGCCUUCGGCGUGCCGUCAUAGCUGCAACUGUGGGGAAUGGCGGUAGCUAUUCCAAAAUUUGGCGGGGAGAAUGGGGAUAGGCGGCGCAAUGGAGGGAAAACGAAACAAAAUGGAGGGAACUAGCCUUCCUGUGGCCGACAUCGCGGGCCCGCUCGACGUUUCGCGUGCAUUCGUUUCGUCCGAACUCCCCGAGCGCGCCUCGGCGGACCAGGAUGGCAUGGACUCUCCAGAUGGACUAAGGGCCUUUUUCAGAGAAAAAACGAAAAACCGGGGACGCGGCUGGGCCAAAUAACGCCGUCCAGGUGGAAAAAAGGGGUGCCGGAAGCCUCGUAGGGGAGAUGGCUGGAGGUGCUCUUAGAACAUCACUAGCCGAUCCCUCAAAUUUUUAAGGAGAAUCCGGGCCCCUAUUUUUUUUAGACUAGUAUAUUUGUUAAUAUAGUUGCCGAUUCUUCAUGUCUAACUCAUCAUUUGAAACUAAUUCAUUCAUAUUUGGUUCAAACUAGUACAUUAAACUACAACUGGAAUGGGAGUUUGGAGUGUUUUUCAUCAUGAUGAUAGUAUUAAGCAUUUUUUUCUGGUGUGAAAGUUAGCAUGUUUAGCCAUGUAGCUUCUAAUUUGUAUCUGCUACGUUAUGUUGUAAACUUUUUUGGUAACUGAUUCCGUGAAAUUGAUCAGAAGUUUAGAAUUCUUAUAGGGCGGGAGCGCUUGCCAUAAUAUGCUUGCUUUGAAUAUAUAGGAAUGAUAUGGUUCUCAAAUUAUUUUCCUUAGAUUAUCUGAUUUUGUACCUAUUUUAUCCCUUCCUGGUUGCCCCUAUAACAAGUGCAUAACCGAGAACUGUUUAAUGAGGCGUGUCUCACAUGGAUAGAAUCGUAAUUUACGGAUUGGUCCUCAUUAGGCGUUGUACGAGCUCUAUAUAAUUCUUGUACUAACCCUUUUCCGUUUUCCUUUUGUUGGUUCGAAUGUGUGCAUCUUACCUAUGCAGAUGCGAGAUAUAAGUGUUAGAUUAUUAGGCAAUUUCCGUGUGAGUUUAAUUACCGAAAGCAACAUUACAGAUGCACAAGCAUACUUAACCAUACUCAUCAGACUAAGCACAUGCAUCAGAUCUGAACAUGGAACAAGUAGCAGUGCAAGGUAUGAGAGGAAAAGCAUGUACAUCGCGACCGGGAAGGUCGCACCAGCAGCAGCACCACCACCACCAUGGGUAUUGUUGAUGUCGCCCAUGGUGUAGUCGGAUCUGUCGAUGAAGCAGCCGGGUCGUCGAAGAAGAGGACGAACAGUAGCGAGCAGUCGCGCCGAGACGCUCCCCAAAAACCUUAUCGCCCGUUUCCCGGUGGAGGAUCUCAACGGACGGAGUUUCGGAGGCCUGCUCUCCCGGACGGCUGUGCACGCAAUCGCCGGGAUGGGGAAGACUAGAGAGUAGCGCAGCAAAAGGAACUUCUCGAGAGAGAUGAACUAGAGAGUUCUGAGAACUGUAUAUUUCUCUAGAUCUGAUCUGUCUCCUUGUAUAGCCUGGGAAGCCGACCCGACCCGACCGCGUUGACACGCGUAGGAAGCCAGGGACACGCGGCGAACAUGCACAUGCAGGUCGACACGUACCCAACACAGUUGGUGCACCAAGCAAAAAGUUUAGGCUUCCUUGAGUGUGUCUCGAACUCGAACUCGAGUCACGAAACGCGACGUGCGUGCGUGACGAGGCGCGGCGGGGCGGGCGGAGGAGGAGGAGUGCGCGAGGGCUCUUUCUCUUCUCACUCACUUGGAAUGACUAGAACAGCAGCCCUUAUAUACCACUCCAACUCUCUCCCAACUAGCAAUGUGGGACUAAACAUUGUCCCCCAAGGCUGUCCCAAGCUGCCAACGUGAUGGGCCUUGAGAUUUCAGGAAUUGUAGACUAUAUGGGCUGCCUUACUGGGCUGCAGCCCAUCUACAUUCAACAAUCCCCCACCAGAUCUCAUAUGCACAUCAGAUGACACAUUAGUUCCAUUCACUGUUUAAUAUACAUGCACUUCAGUGGAGACUGUUAAGUUGAACUUCCACUUAGGCAAGGUGCUACGCUUGACUACAACUGAACAAUGGACUAUGCCUUGAAUUGUCAGUCUUUGUGCAGCAAGUUUCGCUCAAUGCCGGCACGGUACUAGGCUGCCAUAGCCUUCCCCUCGGGUGGAGCUUAUAAGUCAUACUCCUCGACCUUUCAUGAGCUUACUAGAGAUUCACCCAAAUCUCCCACACUAUGACCAGUAGUGUCACUCAUAUAGGUGUGUUCUUCAAAAGAUCGCCCUGUAGGACAGCGUCUUCGCUCAUCAAGAGCCGCUCAGAACACAUUAAGACAUUGUCAACCUGCCUUACAGUCUAUGAGAGAAUUGCAUCUGCAGCGGAGUGGGAGUAUUAAAUUUUCUCUCAACUCAGUUACUCCGGUUUGUUUUCCCAGGUCCUACUUCACGGAAUUUCCGAUCACAUAGGUUGGGUUACCCCCUCGGCAACUCAAGUGGGUCUCAAACCCAUCUCCAUCGAUGCAAGGUCUAUCAUAUUUCUUGAUAGUCCUUUUGUGAAAGGAUCUGCCAGAUUUUUAGCACUUUGGACAUAGUCCAAUGCUAUCACUCCGGAGUUCUUCAGUUUUCUGACAGACUUCAAUCUCCUCUUGAUAUGUUUGGAACUUUUCAUAUUAUCCUUAGAACUUUUCACUUUGACAAUCACAGUUUGAUUAUCACAGUUCAUGAGGAUGGCCGGUAUUGGUUUUUCAACCAUAGGCAAGUCCAUCAAGAGCUCACGAAGCCAUUCCGCUUCGACAGUAGCUGUAUCUAAUGCUGUGAGUUCUGAUUCCAUAGUUGACCUCGUUAAGAUGGUCUACUUGCAAGACUUCCAGGAAACAGCGCCACCACCAAGAGUGAAAACAUAUCCACUUGUGGCCUUCAUUUUAGCAUCAGAAAUCCAAUUGGAGUCACUAUACCCUUCAAGUCCUCUUGGAUACCCGGUAUAAUGAAUUCCAUAACUCAUGGUUCCCUUUAGAUAGCGCAACACUCUCUCAAGAGCAUGCCAAUGAUCAUCUCCCGGGUUGGCCACAAAUCGGCUAAGUUUGCAUACAGCAAACGAGAUAUCAGGUCUCGUAGCGCAAGCUAAAUACAUGAGUGAACCAAUGAUUUGAGAGUAUCUCAAUUGAUCUCUAGUUGCCUUCUCAUUCUUUCGAAGCAAGACACUAGGAUCAUAAGGUGUGAGAGAAGAUUUGCAAUCAGCAUAGCCAAAUCUGCUCAACACCUUCUCAACAUAAUGAGAUUGCACAAGUGUAAUCCCAUUAUUCCCAUCUCUCAAUAACUUGAUGUUCAAUAUAACAUCAGCUUCUCCAAGAUCUUUCAUCUCGAAACACUGAGAUAAGAAGGUUUUUACCUCCUGAAUCACUUUGAGACUUGUCCCAAAAAUUAGUAUGUCAUCCACAUACAAGCAUAGGGCAACUCCCUCACCCCCACCAUGGCGGUAGUACACACAUUUGUCGGCUUCAUUGACAACAAAGCCCACAGAUGUCAAAGUUCUUUCAAACUUCUCAUGCCAUUGUUUGGGUGCUUGUUUAAGUCCAUACAAAGAUUUCUUUAAUUUACACACCUUUCUUUCUUGACCUUGUAGUACAAAACCAUCAGGCUGUUCCAUGUAAAUUUCCUCGUCCAACUCUCCAUUUAGGAAAGCCGUCUUAACGUCCAUUUGAUGAAUGAGAAGACCGUGUGAGGCAGCCAAUGACAGUAGUACUCGGAUGGUGGUUGAUACGUCUCCGACGUAUCGAUAAUUUCUUAUGUUCCAUGCCACAUUAUUGAUGUUAUCUACAUAUUUUAUGCACACUUUAUGUCAUAUUCGUGCAUUUUCUGGAACUAACCUAUUAACAAGAUGCCGAAGUGCCGAUUCUUGUUUUCUGCUUGUUUUUGGUUUCAGAAAUCCUAGUAAGGAAAUAUUCUCGGAAUUGGACGAAAUCAAAGCCCAGGGGCCUAUUUUUUCCACGAAGCUUCCAGAAGUCCGAAGACGAAACGAAGAGGGGCCACGGGGUGGCCAAACCCUAGGGCGGCGCGGCCCCACCCCUGGCCGCGCCGGCCUAUGGUCUGGGCCCCCCGUGCCGCCUCUUGACUUGCCCUUCCGCCUACUUAAAGCCUCCGUGACG